UACGUAGGGUGCGAGCGCUGUCCGGAAUUAUUGGGCGUAAAGGGCUCGUAGGCGGUUUGUCGCGUCGGGAGUGAAAACACCGGGCUUAACUCGGUGCUUGCUUUCGAUACGGGCAGACUAGAGGUAUGCAGGGGAGAACGGAAUUCCUGGUGUAGCGGUGAAAUGCGCAGAUAUCAGGAGGAACACCGGUGGCGAAGGCGGUUCUCUGGGCAUGUCCUGACGCUGAGGAGCGAAAGUGUGGGGAGCGAACAGG
rnacentral:rRNA from 1 species